GCCUUCGUGGUGUAGCGGUCAGCACGCUCGACGCGUAACCGAGAGGUCCGUGGUUCGAUUCUCGGAGAGGGCA
rnacentral:tRNA from 1 species